UAACGGGGGGGCAAGCGUUGUUCGGAAUUACUGGGCGUAAAGGGUCUGUAGGUGGCCAACUAAGUCAGACGUGAAAUCCCUCAGCUUAACUGGGGAACUGCGUCUGAUACUGGAUGGCUUGAGUGUGGGAGAGGAAGUGCGGAAUUCCAGGUGUAGCGGUGAAAUGCGUAGAUAUCUGGAGGAACACCGGUGGCGAAGGCGGCAUUCUGGACCAUAACUGACACUGAGAGACGAAAGCCAGGGAGCAAACGGG
rnacentral:rRNA from 1 species